rnacentral:tRNA from 1 species
UGGUAUAUAGCUCAGUGGUAGAGAACAUGCUUAGUAUGUAGGAAGUCCUGGGUUCAAUUCCCAGUACCUCCA